UAAUGCAAAAUGACGACGUGCAAGCCGCCGGCCUCAGUGUCAGGAAGAAUCGCGUGAUAUCAGGUCUCGCGAUGUAACGAAUUGCUUCACGGCACUGCACACAUACGCCCAUUCAGGAACCGGCUA